ACGGGGUGCAGCAGGCGCGAAAACUUUACAAUGCGGGAAACCGUGAUAAGGGGAUCUCGAGUGCCAGCAUAUAAUGUUGGCUGUCCAGAUGCCUAAAAAGCAUCUGUUAGCAAGGGCCGGGCAAGACCGGUGCCAGCCGCCGCGGUAACACCGGCGGCCCGAGUGGUAACCGCUAUUAUUGGGUCUAAAGGGUCUGUAGCCGGCCAGGUAAGUCCCUUGGGAAAUCUGGCAGCUCAACUGUCAGGCUGCUAGGGGAUACUGUUUGGCUUGGGACCGGGAGAGGUGAGAGGUACCUUGGGGGUAGGGGUGAAAUCUUGUGAUCCUCGAGGGACCACCAGUGGCGAAGGCGUCUCACCAGAACGGGUCCGACGGUAAGGGACGAAAGCUAGGGGCACGAACCGGAUUAGAUACCCGGGUAGUCCUAGCCGUAAACGAUGCUCGCUAGGUGUCAGUCACGGUGCGACCGUGAUUGGUGCCGUAGGGAAGCCGUGAAGCGAGCCACCUGGGAAGUAUGGCCGCAAGGCUGAAACUUAAAGGAAUUGGCGGGGGAG
rnacentral:rRNA from 1 species